CCGAGUUUACAACUCCCAAACCCAAUGUGAACCAUACCAAACUGUUGCCUCGGCGGGGUCACGCCCCGGGUGCGUCGCAGCCCCGGAACCAGGCGCCCGCCGGAGGGACCAACCAAACUCUUUCUGUAGUCCCCUCGCGGACGUCAUUUCUUACAGCUCUGAGCAAAAAUUCAAAAUGAAUCA
rnacentral:misc_RNA from 1 species